CAUUGGUGGAUCUAUGUGUCACCCAAGUAGCCUGGUGGUGAUUGGUUGGCGGACCGCUAAUGUCACGGAAGCAGGUGUGGGAGUGUAGCGCCUUAGCCCAGUAAUGCUGGUAGCCUUUCUUAAUAGAGCCGAAACGUAGGCCCAGCGUUUCAGCGGUAAGGAUGUGGACGGUGACAGUUAAUUGGAGAAGCGGGCCAAUUGGAGCCUACACUAUGUGUGUGAGAUGAAAGAGUUGGUGGUAACUGACCUGGAGACUGUGCUUCCAGGACACUGGUAUCUUCCCCCUUCAAGCUACAUCAAGAUUCCAGAGGUUGAAACUGGCAGGGAGAUUUUUAGCAAAUGGCAUCUGGUUAAAGGUCAGAUUCAGGGGCCCCAGUGGGUGAAAGGUUGAAUAACUCCAAGAAGACAGGUGGUGCGUUAGGAUGGAAAUGGCCACGAGAGCCUUGCAGGUGCAGGCAGAGAAUUCAAACCAAGCCGGAGGAUUCCCGAACAAGCGCCUGUGAGGAUUUGCGGCCACCUAGACUGAUCUCAUUGGGUAAAUGCUUGGCACGGUGACAAAGGAAGAGGAUGAACAUCCAAGUUCUGGGACGCUACAGCACCAACGCACCAGCCACUAACUGGACUAACAAGUGAAGACGCCUGGUCUUUUCUUUACCGCCCCAUAUAAUGACUCCGUAACAGUUUUAGCCGAGGGACCGAGCUGGGAGCAUGUGGCUCGAGGAUUUCAUUGUCAUGUCUUUCUUUCUGUGCUGAGGUCCUACUGAUCCACCUACAAAACAUCCAUCACCUGCUGUGACAGGUGGUACGGCGGCUCCAUGCUUUCUUUGAAUUGGCGGAAUGAGGAGUUAAAGACUGCAGCUAAACCGCCAGGAAGCAGUAGCGAACAGGGAUCUGCUCUCUGACUGACUCCAACCUGUCAUAGGAGAGUUAAU